UACGAAUGGGGCAAGCGUUGUUCGGAAUCACUGGGCUUAAAGCGUGCGUAGGCGGACUCACAAGUCAGAAGUGAAAGCCCUGGGCUCAACCCAGGAAUUGCUUUUGAAACUGUAAGUCUAGAAUCCUGGAGAGGUUAGGAGAAUUCCGAGUGUAGAGGUGAAAUUCGCAGAUAUUCGGAGGAAUACCAGUGGCGUAGGCGCCUAACUGGACAGGUAUUGACGCUGAGGCACGAAAGCGUGGGGAGCAAACAGG
rnacentral:rRNA from 1 species